ensembl:snRNA U6 U6 spliceosomal RNA
GUGCACACUUCAGCAGCAUAUAAACAAAAAUUGGAACAAUGCAGAAAAGAUUAUCAUGGCCCCUAGGCAAGAAUGACAGGCAAAUCCAUGAAAGAUUCCAUAUUAAA